rnacentral:lncRNA from 10 species
CCCAGGUGAGUCUCGUCCCCACCAAGGCUACGGUCUCCUGUCCGGGUUGGACUAAACCAGACCUGGUCAAACUUUGCUUGGUAAUUUUUCUUCCCCAUGAUGGAGCCUCCAUUUUAAAUGUAAUUACACAUGGUGCUUUAACAAAAACUGGUAAAAGCAAUAUUUUCUUUGCAUAAACUCAUCUUAGAAUUUCAAAUUGAUAACACUCUCUUAGAAUCGGCGUUUGGCAAGGACGCUGAGGUUUUUGGAGGAGCACGGGAACAUAAAGCAAGGUGCCUGGUGCGGCUCCGGAUUUAUGUAGCCUCAGCAUCCCAUUUCUUGCCAUUUUCUGCUUCGGAUGAAGAGAAUCAAGUACGUCUGGAUUCCCGGGGGGCCGUCCCUGCUGUGGCACGUGGAGGGAUUUCCUUCCUGUUUCUGGAUGAAUGACGCUCUAUCCCAUCUUGUUCAUGACAAGGAGAAGAUGCUGCUCCAUUGUUACAUGACUCUGCAAACUGGAGAGCAUGCUGGAGGCUACAGGAGUGUGCGUGGUAGUCACGGCAGACCUGGUCCUGCCCUGUGACCCGGGGAUAAGAACAGAAGCUUUGCUCCAGGCUUGUUGUGAGAGGCACUGGAGGGCUCUGACUGAGCAGGGGCGGCACAUAGCAAGUGCUUAAUAAAUGUCUGUGGCUAUAGUACCUCCUGCAUGCACUGGCAGGGCUGGGGGCCUGAGCAUUCAGCCCAGUGCUGGGCAUAUAAUGGAUACUUACUGAGCAGCACCGGGUCACAUGGUGGAUAGUCAGCCGAAGGUUUUAUUCAACCCCCACCACCUCUGCCAGGGGCGCUCACCAAGAAGGGAGGAGAAGUGGGCACGGUGGUCUCCGGCAGGCCUGGCUUUGCUGAGUCACGUUCUUGCCCUCAUCCCCACCAGGGGCAGCCGGGGCUUGUGGGAGCAGGAGUAGGAUCACCGCAGGACUGGACCACCCCCCACCCACACAUGUGUGCG